rnacentral:rRNA from 1 species
UACGAAGGGUGCAACCGUUGCUCGGAAUUAUUGGGCGUAAAGGGCUCGUAGGCGGUUUGUCGCGUCGGGAGUGAAAACCUUGGGCUUAACUCAGGGCUUGCUUUCGAUACGGGCAGACUAGAGGUAUGCAGGGGAGAACGGAAUUCCUGGUGUAGCGGUGAAAUGCGCAGAUAUCAGGAGGAACACCGGUGGCGAAGGCGGUUCUCUGGGCAUGAUCUGACGCUGAGGAGCGAAAGUGUGGGGAGCGAACAGG